GAUGAACGCUGGCGGCGUGCCUAAUACAUGCAAGUCGAGCGAACAGACGAGGAGCUUGCUCCUCUGACGUUAGCGGCGGACGGGUGAGUAACACGUGGAUAACCUACCUAUAAGACUGGGAUAACUUCGGGAAACCGGAGCUAAUACCGGAUAAUAUAUUGAACCGCAUGGUUCAAUAGUGAAAGACGGUUUUGCUGUCACUUAUAGAUGGAUCCGCGCCGCAUUAGCUAGUUGGUAAGGUAACGGCUUACCAAGGCGACGAUGCGUAGCCGACCUGAGAGGGUGAUCGCCCACACUGGAACUGAGACACGGUCCAGACUCCUACGGGAGGCAGCAGUAGGGAAUCUUCCGCAAUGGGCGGAAGCCUGACGGAGCAACGCCGCGUGAGUGAUGAAGGUCUUCGGAUCGUAAAACUCUGUUAUUAGGGAAGAACAAAUGUGUAAGUAACUAUGCACGUCUUGACGGUACCUAAUCAGAAAGCCACGGCUAACUACGUG
rnacentral:rRNA from 1 species